GAUGUGCAUGCUGUCAUGUAUUCAAAGCUGAACGCCCCUAUCUAUAUAUAUCUCUUGUACUAGACAAUGAAAGGACAUUUUUUGCUUGGUUAAAAUUCAGAAUACACAAACUCGUGGAGUUUUGUUUAUGCGUGAGUCUUGAGAGGCUUGCAAAACUCGUUCUUUCGAUUCCUGAGGGAGUUGUAGAACGCCGAACUGCGGUUCAUCCAGUUUGUGCCUUCACGUCUAUACGGCGUGAUUGCGUGGGCUAUUCGUCGGUACGUGGAAGGGUGAUUGUCUCGGUAGUUCGUCGCGUGGACAGCCUCGCGGUGCACUGUCUCUUCACCAGGUCACGCAGCGACAAGUUAUCAAGUUCGCGAAUCCUACGAGAAGAUCGGGCCACAACGACUUGUCUCACGCUAUCCCUAGGCGUGAGCAUAUCAACAGUGCCUAUUUUGUAUCUAACCUUUUGGCCUGAGAUCAAGUGCAUUCAAAAUUCAUAGAAAGAAUUAUAGCAUAUGGUUCAUUUAUUGGAAAUGUAUGUCACUGAAGGACACACAAAAACAAGUAAACAGUGAACAUCUGAAUAUGCAGCAAGUCAUUGAAAGAAAAACAUUUUCAAAUGAAGCAUUGACUUGUUACUGGUUACAUGUUUGGCUAAACUAAUAUUGUGUUCCAGAUGCACUAUCACUCAAACAGCACCAAAGUGAGAGUAGCAACAGUCAUAACCUACACCAAUCUAGGUAGAAUAUCUAGCUUUGCAAUGAGGCCCCUAACCUACACCAAUAAAGAGAAAUCUAGAAAAAAUUCAGUUAGCAACAUAAUGAGCAGUCAGUCAUUUUUCUGAGCUUCUAGACAUCCAAUGUAAAUAUGAUGAAAAAAUGCUACAAUUUUUUUGUCCUCAAAUUACAAGUUCAGAUAGAUCUUUUAUCAAAUUGAUAAUAAAAUACAUGUAUUUUGUACCCUAGUACUGCAGAACUACCAAGCACAUAUAUGCAGCUGCACCUAUUUUCAGUUUAAUAUUCACAAAUCAAUCACUAGAUUAGAUCUGUUUUAAAAUUGUUGCCAACCACUGCAGAUACGUCAGCACUUAAGAUUUUGGCUCUAUUAUUAGAACAGUUGAAAGUGUUUCCCCCAUUCAGUCAUUAUAAGAAACAGGUAGCCAGCACACAUGGGCAUCACAAGAUAAGCACACGAGCGAUCGAGACUCACCGCAAAAAACACCCCGACGGCGUUGCUGACCGGAGAUCUGGUGGCCUUGAAGUCCCUACAAGGCAAGAUGUGGCACACAAAUAAGCAGGCGGGAAGGAAAUGAGGGCAAUAGCUGGGGAGAAAGGGACAGAGGGAUGAGGGAGGCCCAAACCUGUUUUAUUAUCAUCACAGUCCAAUCCCCUAUUGUAUUUUACUAGUAAAUUAAUAGACUGGUAUAAUAGGACCAUCGAUUGAGACCUAAACCUAUGUGAAUAUGUGAUUUAAACCUUCAGAAAUUACAGAUCUAUGCUAAUAGCCAUUGGAUCCAGUCACACAAUAGCAAGCUUACUUAAAGAGAAGAUGGAUCUGAAUUUUUACCUGUGCACAGUGACCUGAUUGCAACAAGAAGCAAGGUGGAUCCAAAUUUCCAAUGACUUGAGAUCUGAAUGCAAGGAGAAUGAAGGAGAGUCUGACGUCCUGGACUGUGCUCAGGCCUCGAUGUGGAGGGUAUCGGCAGGAGCACACAUGACUGCGGGGCGAUGGAUGAGGAGGAGGAUGGGAUGAGCAGAGGAGGGCAGAUGUGCGACAAUGGUAGGUGUUCGUGUGAGGGGCGAUGGAUGACGGCGAAGGAGGGGAUGAGCAAAUGAGGGAGGUGGAGUGGAGGGCAGACCAGCGCCGGCGGAAGGAGCUCGGGUGGGUGACGGUGGGAAGGGGUUUGGGCGAGUUGGGGAGG
rnacentral:lncRNA from 1 species